rnacentral:misc_RNA from 1 species
GAUGAAGAACGUAGUGAAAUGCGAUACUUGGUGUGAAUUGCAGAAUCCCGUGAACCAUCGAGUCUUUGAACGCAAGUUGCGCCCGAAGCCAUUAGGCCGAGGGCACGCCUGCCUGGGCGUCACACGUCGUUGCCCCCCCCAUCUACUCCUUCGGGAUUGCGGGGGGCGGAUGAUGGCCUCCCGUGCGCCUCGCCGCGCGGUUGGCAUAAAUGCCAAGUCCUCGGCGACGCACGCCACGACAAUCGGUGGUUGCGAAACCUCGGUUGCCCGUCGUGUGCGGUCGUCGCGCAUCGAGGGCUCGAAAAAAUUGCCGAGUUCCGGCUCGGCUUUCAACGUGACCCCAGGUCAGGCGGGGUUACCCGCUGAAUUUAAGCAUAUCAAUAAGCGGAGGA